rnacentral:rRNA from 1 species
UACGAAGGGGGCUAGCGUUGUUCGGAAUUACUGGGCGUAAAGCGCACGUAGGCGGAUCGAUCAGUCAGGGGUGAAAUCUCAGGGCUCAACCCUGGAACUGCCUUUGAUACUGUCGAUCUGGAGUAUGGAAGAGGUGAGUGGAAUUCCGAGUGUAGAGGUGAAAUUCGUAGAUAUUCGGAGGAACACCAGUGGCGAAGGCGGCUCACUGGUCCAUUACUGACGCUGAGGUGCGAAAGCGUGGGGAGCAAACAGG